CGCGUAGGCGGUUUGGUCAGUCGGAUGUGAAAGCCCCGGGCUUAACCUGGGAAUCGCAUUCGAUACUGCCUGACUGGAGUGUGGUAGAGGGAAGCGGAAUUCCGGGUGUAGCGGUGAAAUGCGUGGAGAUCCGGAGGAACAUCAGUGGCGAAGGCGGCUUCCUGGACCUAGCACUGACGCUGAGGUGCGAAAGCGUGGGGAGCAAACA
rnacentral:rRNA from 1 species